rnacentral:rRNA from 1 species
CGGACGGGUGAGUAACGCGUAAAGAACUUGCCCUUUAGACUGGGAUAACAGAGGGAAACUUCUGAUAAUACUGGAUAAGUUAGUAUAUCGCAUGAUAUGCAAAUGAAAGCUACGGCACUAAAGGAGAGCUUUGCGUCCUAUUAGCUAGUUGGUAAGGUAAGAGCUUACCAAGGCGAUGAUAGGUAGCCGGCCUGAGAGGGUGGACGGCCACAAGGGGACUGAGAUACGGUCCAAACUCCUACGGGAGGCAGCAGCU